ensembl:lncRNA
UGCUUCCACUGCAGGGGUUUGUUAGGAGUGUGAAUAGGUACCUCUGCUCAGCUGCUCCAAUUUACAAUUUAACUUCUUGAUGCUGUGAUGCUUGCAGCUGUUACACCUGCAUGUGCCCUCUGUUGGGAGCACAACCAGCAGGGCAUUUCCCUCCAUGCUGCAGAAGGGAGCAGGAUGUGUGCUUGUACCUCUGCAGGAUGCCUUUGCCUUUUCAGGAUGACAAGAUGCCUUGCUCUGGUUUUCUACAGGAAUUCUUUUCCAGUGUGGAUCCUAGCCCUUGCUGUUCAUCCUCUAAAUGAGAUUAUUAUAAUGCCUCUGUGAAGUGGCAGUGUCUCAGUUCCUGGGAGGGUCCUCCCUGAGCAGCAGGUCCAUGUUUGAUGUCUCCAGUCACUGCGAACAUUCAGAAACAGGAGGAAAUUUUCUCCCUUGUGGUGCUUCUUCAGUAUAGAAGCUGGGAAGUAAAUUUGAGAUUUGGAAGAAGCAAAGGUUUUAGGUGAGAUGGGGGUGAGAUGCAACCAAAGGCUACAUUGACUGAUAUAGGAACAGCUCUCUGAGGUGUGAAAAUUGAGGGUGACAGAAACAUUCCAGAAGACAACUGUGAGCAUUUUCCACAUUUCUUGGGCCGCAAUCUUUAAGGAAGAGUCUUCCCUGGAGGUGUGGAUUUUACAGAUCAUCUUGAGUGAGAUCACACAGCGUGUGGGACAGAUGAGGAUCAGGCACAGCCAGCAUGGAUUCAUGAAAGACAGGUCCUGCUUGACCAACCUGAUCUCCUUCUGUGAUUGAGUGACCCACCUGGUGGAGGGAAAGGCUAUUGAUGUAGUCUGUCUAGAUUUCAACAAAGUCUUUGACACUGUCCCCCACAGUAUUUUCCUGGAGAAGCUGGCAGCCUGUGGAGGAGCAGGGAGGUGAUCACCCCCUUGUAGUCAGCUCUGGUGAGGCCGCACCUGGAGUACUGUGUUCAGUUUUGGGCCCCUCACUACAACAAGGACAUUGCGAUGAGGUGAGGGUUGGCCUCUUCUCCCAUGUAGCUAGCAACAGAACAAGAGGGAAUGGCCUCAAGUUACGCUAGGGGAGAUUCAGGUUGAAUAUUAGGAGAAAUUUCUUCUCUGAAAGAGCAGUCAGGUGCUGGAAUGGGCUGCUGGGUCACUGUCCCUGGAGGUGUUCAAGAAAGGUGUAGAUGUACUAAGAGAUGUGGUUUAGUGGGGGAAUAUUGGUGGUAGGUGGAUGGUUGGACUAGAUGACCUUAGACAUCUUUUCUAACCUUCACAAUUCUAUGAUUCGAAGGGAAACGCUGGCUGACCAUUUCAAAAGUUUAACCAGAUCUCCAUUUCCCACUUACAUUUCUCUGUUCUGCUGUCCUAUAAUCUCCCUUGAGUUCACAGCUCAAGUACUCAUCAUUAUUUAAGUUGUUACAUUCUUUUUUGCCAAUGUUGUUCCUCACUGUUGAACUUUUUGUUAAUUCUGAGUCAAUUUUCCCAGCUUCCUUCUAUCAAUACCAGCAUAUUAACAUAUGCAAUUUGGGGACCAUUUUUACACCCUGGAACAUGACAAG